GCCCGGGUGGCGAAAUUGGCAGACGCGCAGCGUUCAGGGCGCUGUGGACGCAAGUUCAUGGGAGUUCAAAUCUCCCCCCGGGCA
rnacentral:tRNA from 1 species